rnacentral:rRNA from 1 species
UACGUAGGGUGCAAGCGUUAAUCGGAAUUACUGGGCGUAAAGCGUGCGCAGGCGGUUUUGUAAGUCAGAUGUGAAAUCCCCGGGCUUAACCUGGGAACUGCGUUUGAAACUACAAAGCUAGAGUGUGGCAGAGGGGGGUGGAAUUCCACGUGUAGCAGUGAAAUGCGUAGAGAUGUGGAGGAACACCGAUGGCGAAGGCAGCCCCCUGGGUUAACACUGACGCUCAGGCACGAAAGCGUGGGGAGCAAACAGG